GAUGAACGCUAGCGAUAGGCUUAACACAUGCAAGUCGAGGGGCAGCAUGGUCUUAGCUUGCUAAGACUGAUGGCGACCGGCGCACGGGUGCGUAACGCGUAUGCAACUUGCCUCACAGAGGGGGAUAACCCGUCGAAAGACGGACUAAUACCGCGUACACUCCAUCUUGGGCAUCCAAGGUAGAGGAAAUGAAAUUCGCUGUGAGAUAGGCAUGCGUCCCAUUAGCUAGUUGGUGAGGUAACGGCUCACCAAGGCGACGAUGGGUAGGGGAACUGAGAGGUUGAACCCCCACACUGGUACUGGGACACGGACCAGAAUCCUACGGGAGGCAGCAGUGAGGAAUAUUGGUCAAUGGGCGAGAGCCUGAACCAGCCAAGUCGCGUGAAGGAAGACUGUCUUAUGGAUUGUAAACUUCUUUUAUACGGGAAUAACAAGAGUCACGUGUGACUCCCUGCAUGUACCGUAUGAAUAAGCAUCGGCUAACUCCGUG
rnacentral:rRNA from 1 species